rnacentral:rRNA from 1 species
UACAGAGGUCCCAAGCGUUGUUCGGAUUCAUUGGGCGUAAAGGGUGCGUAGGCGGCGCGGUAAGUCGGAUGUGAAAGCCCUGGGCUCAACCUAGGAAGUGCACUCGAAACUGCAGAGCUGGAGUCCUGGAGAGGAAGGCGGAAUUCUCGGUGUAGAGGUGAAAUUCGUAGAUAUCGAGAGGAACACCGGUGCGAAGGCGGCCUUCUGGACAGUGACUGACGCUGAGACGCGAAAGCGUGGG